GACGAACGCUGGCGGCGUGCUUAACACAUGCAAGUCGAACGGAAAGGCCCUGCUUUUGUGGGGUGCUCGAGUGGCGAACGGGUGAGUAACACGUGAGUAUCCUGCCCUUGACUUUGGGAUAACUUCAGGAAACUGGGGCUAAUACCGGAUAGGAGCUCCUGCUGCAUGGUGGGGGUUGGAAAGUUUCGGCGGUUGGGGAUGGACUCGCGGCUUAUCAGCUUGUUGGUGGGGUAGUGGCUUACCAAGGCUUUGACGGGUAGCCGGCCUGAGAGGGUGACCGGCCACAUUGGGACUGAGAUACGGCCCAGACUGCUACGGGAGGCAGCAGUGGGGAAUAUUGCACAAUGGGCGGAAGCCUGAUGCAGCAACGCCGCGUGCGGGAUGACGGCCUUCGGGUUGUAAACCGCUUUAGCCUGUGACGAAGCGUGAGUGACGGUAAUGGGUAAAGAAGCACCGGCUAACUACGUG
rnacentral:rRNA from 1 species